CUAAAAUUAAAGGCAUAGCAGCGCAGGCAUGCAGACUUUAAGAGUGCUCGCUCACAACUUGGUGUUUAAGAACUACACAGGCGCCAACCUGAAAUGACACGUGCGCAGUGUCCGAGGUCUUACUCGUUUUCGUACCUGCGGGCAGGCUGAGCCCGCUUCUGCGCUGGAGUUGAUACUACGCAAGCGCCGGGGGUGCAUGACGUCAUCCGAGCGCGCCUCCCACAGUACACAAGCCCUGGGCUCAGACACAGACGUUGCUGUGGAGACGGGGCGUUGAGAUUGGAGGAGAGCCGGUCAGUUGAUGUUGCUGUCUUACAGACACUGAAACCCCAGGUGGAAGAAGUUAACUACAUCAUGACCAGACUGUACCCAUGAUAUAAGCCGCUGGAAUUCCGAGAACUGGAUGCAAGAAAUGGAAACAAACUGACCCUGGAACUGAAUAUUAACUGUACUUAAAACUGUCAAGAUGACGCUGGUCAGACCACUGAUGACCAGUUUCAAGGAGCAGGUGAUGAACUCACUCCGAUUGACAUAUUGAGAGCUGCUCUUCCCAGAUCCAGCUGGCAGCUUCGUAAUUAUGGAAACAUCUAUGUUGUUCCCACUUACCCAGGGCUAGGCCUGCUGGUAUCUGAUUCAGUGUUUACUUCAUGAAUGAGGAUGGUUCCACUUGUGUGGCGUGAGAAUGACUCAGAAUGCCUUGGAAGCCACCUCCAGAGAGCAAUGAGACCGGUAGCUGCUAACACACAUGCCGGAAAGCAACGUGGAGGAGCCACAGUCCCAGAUGUAAAGACGGUCAGCCCUGGGGCUACAGGAGACCUCAGAACAUCUCUGCCCACUGGAGGAUCUAAAGAGCCCGUUCAAGUUGAGUCGGAUUCAGAUCACUUCCCUGACAUCCUCCCUCUGGAGUACCACCUGAGACUUCUCUGGUGGUCUAGUGGUUGCAAAUUCACCUGCCAAUGCAGGGGACACGGGUUCAAUCCCUGGUCCAAGAAGAUCCCACACGCCAAGGGGCAACUAAACCGGUGCACCACAACUACUGAGCCCGAGCACAGCCAAAAAUAAAUAUUUUUGAAAAAAAAAAAAAUAGUACAACCUGUGUAAGCCCCAAGAUGCUCUAUCCAUUCAUUCCUGUGACCCAAACCCCCAUGACUUGCUGUCAGUGCUGCUGUCUGUUCUAGCCACCAUUGUCAUGUCACUUUCCAAUCGAAACGAUCUUUUCCCUUGCAUGUGCUUCUGGGAAUUUUUGAACACUAGACUCUAAACAAAGUUCCUUCCUUCACCCCCUCUGGCCUCAUCACCUCAGCUCUCUGUCCACUCAGUUGCUGCCACCCCAGCCAUCCUGCUGAUUCUUGAACUUAUCAGACACGUGCAACUGGAGUCUUGGCACGUGCUGCUUCCUCCAUUUGGAACACACUCUUGGGGUCAUCUACGUGGCUACCUCGGUCCCUUCCUUUAGGUCUUCAUCCACAUGCCUGCCAGCCAGUGAGACCUUCCCAACCACACUCCUCCCCGGACCACCCCAGCCACCCACCCCUGUGUGUCUUCCUUCCACACAGAUGGUCCCUGGAGCUUUCAUCCAUAUCUGUAACAGCAGCUUCUACCUGUCUGUUCUCUGCCUGCCUCCCUCAUUGGAACACCAGCUCUGUGCGGGCAGGGAUUUGACAUUUUUUUGUUUACUGUCACAGCCCAAUACCUGUAAUAGGGCUUACAUUUCCUCCAUAAAGGAGGCUGAGUGCCGAAGAAUUGAUGCUUUCAAACUCUGGUGUUGGAGAAUACUCUUGAGAGUCCUUUGGACAGCAAGGAGAUCAAAUCAGUCAGUCCUAAAGGAAAUCAACCCUGAGUAUCCAUUGGAAGGAGUGAUGCUGAAACUGAAGCUCCAAUACUUUGGCUACCUUAUGUGAAAGGCCAAUUCACUGGAAAAGACCCUAAUGCUGGGAAAGACUGAAGGCAGGAGGAGAAGGGGGCGACAAAGGAUGAGAUGGUUGGAUGGCAUCACUGACUCAAUGGACAUGAGUUUGAGCAAACUCUGGGAGAUAGUGGAGGAUACAGGAGCCUGUUGUGCUGCAAUACAUGGGGUCACAAAAAGUCAAACAUGAUUUAGUGACUGAAGAACAUUAAAUACACAUUGAAAGAUUUCCUGAGCGUUCCCUGCACACUGGGCACUAGCUGAGACACUGGAUGUUUUUGCAAAGUCUAUUCAGUGAUUAGGCAUUCACUCUACUUUAAGAAACUCACUUCAUGGCAAAUAGAAGGAGAAAAUGUGAAAACAGUGACAGAUUUUACUUUCUUGAGCUCCAAAAUCACUGCAGAUUGUGACUUCAGCCAUGAAAUUCAAAGACGCUUGCUCCUUGGAAGGGAGGCUAUGAAAAGCUCAGUUCAGUUCAGUUCAUUUCAGUCACUCAAUCAUGUCAGACUCUUUGCCACCCCAUGGAUAGCAGCACACCAGGCCUCCCUGUCCAUCACCAACUCCCGGAUUUU
ensembl:lincRNA